rnacentral:rRNA from 1 species
UGGGUAACCGGCGAACGGGUGCGUAACGCGUGAGCGACCUGCCUUUCCGCGGGGGAUAGCCGGCCCAACGGCCGGGUAAUACCGCAUACGCUUGUCCUGGGGCAUCCCGGGAUAAGGAAACCUCCGGGGCGGAGAGAGGGGCUCGCGACCUAUCAGCUAGUUGGCGGGGUAACGGCUCACCAAGGCGGCGACGGGUAGCUGGUCUGAGAGGAUGGCCAGCCACAUUGGGACUGAGAUACGGCCCAG